rnacentral:rRNA from 1 species
CCUACGGGUGGCAGCAGUAGGGAAUUUUCGUCAAUGGGCGCAAGCCUGAACGAGCAAUGCCGCGUGAACGAGGAAGGUCUUCGGAUCGUAAAGUUCUGUUGAAGGGGAAAAAGAGCGGAGAGAGGAAAUGCUUUCUGAUUGAUAUUACCCUUCGAGGAAGUCACGGCUAACUACGUGCCAGCAGCCGCGGUAAUACGUAGGUGGCGAGCGUUAUCCGGAAUGAUUGGGCGUAAAGGGUGCGUAGGCGGUAUGUCAAGUCAAGGGUGAUAUCCCCGCGCUCAACGUGGGAACUGCCUUUGAAACUGGCAAACUGGAGUGUGUGAGAGGAUAGUGGAAUUCCAGGUGUAGGAGUGAAAUCCGUAGAUAUCUGGAGGAACAUCAGUGGCGAAGGCGACUAUCUGGCACAUAACUGACGCUGAGGAGCGAAAGCGUGGGUAGCAAACAGGAUUAGAUACCCGAGUAGUC